AAAGAAAGAAAAAUUUGCCAAACAUACAUUUAACAUUGACCUUCUACCGCCAACCAUAUUAUCUCCUUCAACCACGAAUUUUCCUUUUCAUCGUUGCUGAAUUUUCAAUAAAAAGGAAAAUACACCGUCAAGGUUAUACGCUACCCAAAGUCGGGAUAAGAUUUUUGGAAAAAACUUCUUGUCCAGGGCCACAUGGGCCCUGGACGUAUAGCAUAGCUCAAGAUUUUUAUCUGUAAAAUUGAUGAAGGAUACAGAAACAAAUAAUGAAAAGAAAAAAAAAAAAAAAAAAAAAAAAAAAAAAAAAGAAGAAGAAAAAUCGUCAGCAUUUGCAAAGCAACUCAAACAUGGCUGAAACUAUAAGAUUCACUAUCUCUGGAGCUUCCCAAUGGAGUGCAAAUAUACUGCGACGGAGACAACACUGAAGGCAGAAUUACGUUAGUCAGACAUUUUGAAUUCAUUCAUUCAUGUUCCAAAAGCAUGCGUGACUUAGCGUGCGAAUGUUGACUGAAGUGAAAUUUAAGCAUAAAUACUCACGUGGAACCAAGAAAGAAGGCAAGGGAUAAAUGAAAUCCAAAGAGGAAAACAGAUAACACUGCUGUCAGCAGCAUUGCAACUGAUGUAGAAUACACCUGCAA
rnacentral:lncRNA from 1 species